rnacentral:tRNA from 1 species
GGAGAUGUGGCGAAGUGAUAACGCAAAGCGGAUGACACCAUUGGUUAACUCCGCUUCCAUCGUUGGUUCAAAUCCAACCAUCUCUA